AGGAAGCGAGGCCAUACUUCCAUUCUUGAUCAUCCGUCCUUCAGUUCAAUGCGACUGUGUACGCUGUAAACAUGUUAAGUGGAGUCACAGGCAGACGUUUAGUUGACAGGAUCCUCUUUGCACCGUGAACUGUAAAGAGCAUUUCAGAGGAUGAUCAGUGCAACAUUAUCGAUUGAACAUCGAUGAUUUUAUUAUAUUAUCAGACUGAAUCAGGAUCACUAAUGGUUGCAGUUGAGUGCUUCAGUGACUAACGGGUCAUAAGGUGGAUUUCAAAAGCCAUGAAGACUGAAUUUCCUGGUUUGUAUGUGUAUUACUCAUGCCUUGUUCACUGUAAUGACAUUGGACCAAAUUCCUGAAACUCUAUCAAAAAAAAAAAAGCUAGUUCUUCAGAAAGGCAUGAUUGCAUGCCGAAGUGUCUACAACUUGAGAAAUUUGAGUCAAAUCAAAUGUAGCUUUAAUUUCUGGGUGUUUUGUUGAUUGAGAUUGAAUGUACAUUGAUGUAAGCAUUUUGAAUAAAAUGGUGUGGCUAGAGCAUGCAAGUGUUGGUGAAAUAAACAAUAAAAGGAGUAGUUUGGAUGUUUGUGUCUUCCACUUUUUUUUUUUUUUUUAAUGUUACAUGUAUCAGCACUGUCUUUGAACCUGUGAAGCCCCUUCCAUGGCUCAAUGGGCCAAGCAACAGUGCAAAAGUAAAGGCUUGUUAUAACUGGAGCCUCUUGGAUUUCCCUCCAAGUUGCUCUUUUAAAAGCAAACUACAAUUUCUUCUGAAUUACCAUUUCACAAUCUGUGCAGGUGCAGACUGGUUUGGAAUUAAUAUCUAGCCCAAGAAUUAUUUUGCAAAAGCUGUUUAUCAAUCUCCACAAUUCAACAUUUUCACAAGGAGCAAAUGAAAUAGCAAUUAGCAGAAAGUACACAGAAGAUCAAUUAUGUAUGGCAAUAUUGAAAAAUAAAUGGUAAUACAAAAACAUUUUGCAGCUAAAGUAAAACAAAUACACAUGUACCAGAGGACACCUUGGCAACAGACCACAUUAUGUGUGUACACUUCAUAAUUUCAGACCUGCAAUUUAAAAUAUAUGUUGGAUGACAUUUCAAA